rnacentral:tRNA from 1 species
UUCCUGGAGGUCUGGUGGUUAGGACUCUGCGCUUCCACUGCAGGGGGCACAGGUUCUAUCCCUGGUCAGGGAA